rnacentral:rRNA from 1 species
CGGGGGGUGCAAGCGUUGUUCGGAUUUAUUGGGCGUAAAGCGCGUGUAGGCGGUUUGUUAAGUCUGAUGUGAAAGGCCUGGGCUCAACCCAGGAAGUGCAUUGGAUACUGGCAGACUUGAAUACGGGAGAGGGUAGUGGAAUUCCUGGUGUAGGAGUGAAAUCCGUAGAUAUCAGGAGGAACACCGGUGGCGAAGGCGGCUGCCUGGACCGAUAUUGACGCUGAGACGCGAAAGCGUGGGUAGCAAACAGGAUUAGAUACCCUGGUAGUCCACGCCGUAAACGAUGAGUACUAGGUGUUGCGGGUAUUGACCCCUGCAGUGCCACAGCUAACGCAUUAAGUACUCCGCCUGGGAAGUACGGUCGCAAGACUA